rnacentral:rRNA from 1 species
GACAGAGGGUGCAAACGUUGUUCGGAAUUACUGGGCGUAAAGCGCGUGUAGGCGGCCCUGCAAGUCGGGUGUGAAAUCCCACGGCUCAACCGUGGAAGUGCACUCGAAACUGCAGGGCUAGAGUCCUGGAGAGGAAGGUGGAAUGCUUGGUGUAGAGGUGAAAUUCGUAGAUAUCAAGCGGAACACCGGUGGCGAAGGCGGCCUUCUGGACAGUGACUGACGCUGAGACGCGAAAGCGUGGGGAGCAACAGGG